GUCAGCAGCUGUACCACCUGAGGUUCAGAUGACGAAAUCCAUCUGAUGCUAAGCAGGUUUGGGUCUGGCCAGAACUUGGAUGGGAGACCAGCUUGAAAUGUUGGAUUGUUGCUGGAA
rnacentral:rRNA from 1 species